UGGGGUGUGGCUCAGUGGUGGAGUGCUUGCCUAGCAUGCACGAGGUACUGGGUUCAAUCCUCAGCACCACAU
rnacentral:tRNA from 1 species